AAAAGAAAUCUAUCGUAUCUCUUGCUCUGGAUACUGUGUAUAGACUGCCAGGGCCGUAUACAGAUUUCCUAAUAGAAUUUGCAGAUUUCCUCUCAGACCUAUUGGUUACUGCUGAUAAAGCGCUAAUUGUCGGUGAUUUUAACAUUCACAUUGAUAAUACAAAUGAUGCAUUAGGACAGUAGGCGUCUACUGACUGUUUUGGAGUCAAGCAAAACGUCACCAGGCCCACUCAUGAGCUAGGUUUAAUUAUAUCAAAUGGAAUUGAUCUUACUGAUAUAGAUAUAGUACCUCAAAGUGGUGAUGUUAUUGACAAUUUCCUUGUGUCGUGCAUGCUGCAUAUUUCUGAUAUUAACUAUAUUUCCAAAAUUAGCUGAAGAGGCCAAAAUGAGCAUUGUGAAUGUAAGAGCCUCACAUUACACUUAUAACUAUCGUUGUUAAUGUUUGAAUUGUAUUUCAGGGCAGUUCUUGAAGACAGAUAAUCAAGAGAUGGGACAAACUGUACAGAAGUCAGUUCCAGAUCCACCCUCCACACCAGACCUCUCUCUCAUAUGGACUGCUGUCUACUAGCAUAUUGUGUUCUCUUCAGACUUCAGUGGGUGCAGAUAUUACUCAGGAACCUUCCAACCAUAAUGACAUGGGUGAAGGCACAAAAGCCAGGUGUAGAUGGGGAUCGGCCAGACACGUGACCUUUUCAGUGACCACCAUGAAGACUGAAAGUGUGCUGACCAUGAGGACCUGGAAUCACAUGGGGGUCACAGCAGGUGACGGAUACUUAUGACCAUUUUGUAUAUUUAAUUCAACAGAACCUUAAGUGCCAUCAAUCUGAUACCCAUGUUCACUGAAACUCAAAUGUUGUUUUUAUUCUUUCUGAUUAGUUCCAACAGUUGUUCACCUACACUUCAUUUAUUGAAGGAAACUAUUGUAAUUAUUUAUGAUUAAUUAUAAUAUUUUAGAACAUAUUUUAAGAAAUGUUUAAUGUUAAUUCUACAUCACAAUAUCAGAGCAAUAACAAACAGGGUCAUUGCGUUUUUUUUCUUACAUCUUGAAAAAUAAAGUUUCCCAUAUUUUAUAUAAUAUCUCA
ensembl:lncRNA